GGACGACGGGCUGUGGGCGAAGCUCUGCGAGACGUCGUAGUCGUCCAGCACCGUCAUGUCCUGCAGCGUGGUCAGAGUGGCCCCCCACGUCUUCUUCACCUGCGCACACCACCCGCGAAUGCCGCGCGUCACUCCGACGAGCGAGGCCAGCCGGGUCUGCAGCUGCGUGAGGCGCAGGGCGAGCUCCGCCUGCACCUGCGGCUGGGAGGCGAUCCGGCUCACCUGGCGGGAGAGGUCGGGUUAUCGGCCCGGACGCGUGACGUCUCGUGACCGCGGCCGGCUCGUACUGACCGUGUCGCCCAUGUGGGCCUGGAAGCUGAAGCGCGGCGGCGGGCAGAAGGCAGUGGGGUAGAGGCCCAGGAGACGUUGGCGGUCGCGGGCGGGGUCCAGACCCUCCACGGCGCCCUCCAGAACCUCCAGACCGGCCCGCCGGGACGCCUCCAGGCUCAGUUCGGCCGACAGUGUGUCACAAAUGUUUCUCGCAACAUCGCAGAAGAGGCUGACGAGGCUGCAAUUGCCGGAAUGGAGCCAGCCUUGCACUCUUGAGGUGUUUUUUGGGGGGGGGCCCAAAGGGCUCACGAUGCAUUGGAGGCUGGUAACCAUGGCGCUCCCUGAAGAGGAAGGGGGGGCGGCGGCGGCAACCCCCACUUCCCACCCGACCCCCAUGACCCUGAACCCCAGACGACCUCGCCCCCAUACCACACCUCCAGCUUCAUGCAGCACUCGGGAUGAACUCCUGGCGUUACCCACAAUGCACACGAUGCAGCGCCAACAUGCUCGCAGGUCCGCACUCUGCCGCAGCCUCCACGCUGACGACGAUGACGACGAGGAGGAGGAGGAGGAGGAGGAAGAGGAGGAGAGCGAGUCAGACGGCAAUUAGCUCCUCUCGUGAGUGCGCACGUCCUGCACGAUGCGCAUGGACGAUGGGGGAAACGUGCGCGCUCACGCACACGCCCACGAGGUCGACACGCAUGCGCACGUGGAAACGCGCCAGAAAAGUGGUCGCCUAUGGGAUUCAGCCUUUUGAGGACGUCGUCAGCCUGCCGAAGCAAAAAGAUGCUGGGUUUUUUUUUUUAUGUAGUUUUCUUGAAAAAGUGGCCACAAAAGUACCAAAAUUUACGAUUAAGUUAUCAGUGUAUUUGGUAGAGUUUGGUAUUUGAUACGUUUGUUUGACUAAAAUGAAAUUAUGUUUUAUUCUAUAAACUACUGACAAAAAUAAAUAUACUGUUCCAUUGUACAUUCUGGAAGUUAUCUUUGUUGUUGCGUUUGAAUAUAUUGGCUAAAUAAAAUUGAGGUGGAAAAUCAACAUUUGUGCAUUUGAUC